GNAGGGGGCAAGCGNUAUCCGGACUNACUGGGUGUAAAGGGAGCGUAGACGGCGAGGCAAGNCUGAUGUGAAAACCCGGGGCNCAACCCCGUGACUGCAUCGGAAACNGUUUUGCUUGAGUGCCGGAGAGGUAAGCGGAAUUCCUAGUGUAGCGGUGAAAUGCGUAGAUAUUAGGAGGAACACCAGUGGCGAAGGCGGCUUACUGGACGGCAACUGACGUUGAGGCUCGAAAGCGUGGGGAGCAAACAGGAUUNGAUACCCUGGUAGUCCACGCCGUAAACGAUGUUAACUAGUUGUUGGGAAGUAAAAUUUCUCAGUAACGCAGCCAACGCGAGAAGUUAACCGCCUGGGAAGU
rnacentral:rRNA from 1 species